CCUUGAGCGUCUUCUUUUAAGCUUUAAUUCCUCAAAAUGAGAUUUUGAUAGUUCCUUCCUUUCCUUUCUGUCUGAAGUUUCUGAAUCAUGCCCUUUUCCUGGAUCAUGUUUUCUUUUGGAAUAUCUAUCUCUGUUUUUCUCUUCAACUCUAUUUCUGUAUUUUCUCUUGUUUUCUCUCUCAAAUUUUCCCCUACUUUCAUCCACAUGUCUAUCUCUCUCCAUUAAUUCUCUUGAAUGUUUCUUCAGAGCUUCAUUUUCAGCGUUACUGCUUCUCCACUCAUCUCUUUUUCUCCUUUCAUAACUUUUUUCAUCAGUCUUGCCUUUGGCUUUCUGAUCUUUGUCCAUUUUGGCCUUCAAUUUGGUUUCUGAAUCCCGAAUUUCUCUAUCUUUGCUUCUAGCUAAAUAGCCAUCCUUCAUGUAGGUAUUUUCUUCUUUCCUU
rnacentral:misc_RNA from 1 species